rnacentral:rRNA from 1 species
CGAGUCGGCUGCCGGGAGCCGCGGUAAUGCGUAGGGGGCGGGCGGUGGCCGGAAUUACUGGGCGGAAAGGGGGGGUAGGCGGUGGGCUGCGUCGGGCGUGAAAGCUCCGGGCUUAGCUGGGAGAGGGCGUCCGAAACGAGCGCACUUGGAGGGCGGUAGGGGCUGGCGGAACGCCCGGAGUAGCGGUGAAAUGCGUUGAGAUCGGGCAGAACACCAGUGGCGAAGGCGGCCAGCUGGGCCGACCCUGACGCUGAGGCGCGAAAGCCAGGGGAGCGAACGGAAUUAGAUACCCCUGUAGUC